rnacentral:rRNA from 1 species
CUGAAUAACUGAGCCGAUCGCAUGGUCCUUGCACCGGCGACGUAUCUUUCAAGUGUCUGCCCUAUCAACUUUCGAUGGUAGUUUAUAUGACUACCAUGGUUAUAACGGGUAACGGAGAAUAAGGGUUCGACUCCGGAGAAGCAGCCUGAGAAACGGCUACUACAUCCAAGGAAGGCAGCAGGCGCGCAAAUUACCCAAUCUCAGCACAAGGAGGUAGUGACGAGAAAUAACGAGGCGGUGCCUCUCUGAGGCCCGCUAUCGGAAUGAGAACAAUUCAAAACCUUUAACGAGGACCUAGCAGUGGGCAAGUCUGGUGCCAGCAGCCGCGGUAAUUCCAGCACUGCUAGUGUAUACCACGAGUACUGCGGUUAAAAAG